CUUAUCACUUUCGCUUAGCCACUGAGAUUGCUCCCAACAGCUAGUAUCCAUCGUUUACGGCGUGGACUACCAGGGUAUCUAAUCCUGUUCGCUACCCACGCUUUCGUCCAUCAGCGUCAAUCCAUUAGUAGUAACCUGCCUUCGCAAUUGGUAUUCCAUGUAAUCUCUAAGCAUUUCACCGCUACACUACAUAUUCUAGUUACUUCCUAAUAAUUCAAGUUUAACAGUAUCAAUGGCCGUUCCACCGUUGAGCGAUGGGCUUUCACCACUGACUUAUUAAACCGCCUACGGACCCUUUAAACCCAAUGAUUCCGGAUAACGCUUGGAUCCUCCGUAUUACCGCGGCUGCUGGCACGGAGUUAGCCGAUCCUUAUUCUUACGAUACCGUCAAGCUGCUUCACGAAGCAGUGUUUCUUCUCGUAUAAAAGCAGUUUACAAUCCAUAGGACCGUCAUCCUGCACGCGGCAUGGCUGGAUCAGGCUUGCGCCCAUUGUCCAAUAUUCCUCACUGCUGCCUCCCGUAGGAGUCUGGUCCGUGUCUCAGUACCAGUGUGGGGGAUCUCCCUCUCAGGACCCCUACCCAUCGUAGCCUUGGUAAGCCGUUACCUUACCAACUAGCUAAUGGGACGCAUGCUCAUCUUUUACCGUUGUGACUUUAAUAGUAGAAUCAUGCGAUUCAGCUAUACUAUGAGGUAUUAAUCCAAAUUUCUCUGGGCUAUCCCUCUGUAAAAGGUAGAUUGCAUACGCGUUACGCACCCGUGCGCCGGUCUCUGCUUCCGAAGAAGCAUACCCCUCGACUUGC
rnacentral:rRNA from 1 species